AGCAGCCGCGGUAAUACGUAGGUGGCAAGCGUUGUCCGGAAUUAUUGGGCGUAAAGGGCUCGCAGGCGGUUUCUUAAGUCUGAUGUGAAAGCCCCCGGCUCAACCGGGGAGGGUCAUUGGAAACUGGGAAACUUGAGUGCAGAAGAGGAGAGUGGAAUUCCACGUGUAGCGGUGAAAUGCGUAGAGAUGUGGAGGAACACCAGUGGCGAAGGCGACUCUCUGGUCUGUAACUGACGCUGAGGAGCGAAAGCGUGGGGAGCGAACAGGAUUAGAUACCCUGGUAGUCCACGCCGUAAACGAUGAGUGCUAAGUGUUAGGGGGUUUCCGCCCCUUAGUGCUGCAGCUAACGCAUUAAGCACUCCGCCUGGGGAGUACGGUCGCAAGACUGAAACUCAAAGGAAUUGACGGGGGCCCGCACAAGCGGUGGAGCAUGUGGUUUAAUUCGAAGCAACGCGAAGAACCUUACCAGGUCUUGACAUCCUCUGACAACCCUAGAGAUAGGGCUUUCCCUUCGGGGACAGAGUGACAGGUGGUGCAUGGUUGUCGUCAGCUCGUGUCGUGAGAUGUUGGGUUAAGUCCCGCAACGAGCGCAACCCUUGAUCUUAGUUGCCAGCAUUCAGUUGGGCACUCUAAGGUGACUGCCGGUGACAAACCGGAGGAAGGUGGGGAUGACGUCAAAUCAUCAUGCCCCUUAUGACCUGGGCUACACACGUGCUACAAUGGACAGAACAAAGGGCUGCGAGACCGCAAGGUUUAGCCAAUCCCACAAAUCUGUUCUCAGUUCGGAUCGCAGUCUGCAACUCGACUGCGUGAAGCUGGAAUCGCUAGUAAUCGCGGAUC
rnacentral:rRNA from 1 species